GACGAACGCUGGCGGCGUGCUUAACACAUGCAAGUCGAACGGAAAGGCCCUGCUUUUGUGGGGUGCUCGAGUGGCGAACGGGUGAGUAACACGUGAGUAACCUGCCCUUGACUUUGGGAUAACUUCAGGAAACUGGGGCUAAUACCGGAUAGGAGCUCCUGCUGCUUGGUGGGGGUUGGAAAGUUUCGGUGGUUGGGGAUGGACUCGCGGCUCAUCAGCUUGUUGGUGGGGUAGUGGCUUACCAAGGCUUUGACGGGUAGCAGGCCUGAGAGGGUGAGAGGCCAAAUUGGGACGGAAAUACGGCCCAGCCCCCUCCGGGAGGGAGCGGUGGGGAGGAGUGCACUAUGGGCGGAAGGCUGAUGCAGCCACGCCGCGUGGGGGAUGACGGCCUUCGGGUUGUAUUCCGCUUCCGCCUGUGACGAGGCGUGAGUGACGGUAAUGGGUAAAGAAGCACCGGCUAACUCCGUG
rnacentral:rRNA from 1 species